CAAAGACAACACAUUACAGCAGACAAGAAGGACGAACACAAAAGGGAUCUGUGCACCAUAUAAAGAUCAUUUCCACAGUCCAUGAGACAGAGAUGCCACUAACUGAAUGUUUGUCUUCGGUUUUAAAGAAAAUAUACGCAUUUCUGAAACGCCAUUCUUUUUUAAUCAUUUUUCUAUUGAGUCUUUUUUUAAUCGGAUUUGAGGAAUUCCUUGAAGCGAAAGUUUUCUCAUGCCCAUGCAAACAUGAUCAAAAUGUACAACUAACAGCGUGCACCUUCAUCGGACCUGCUCUUUUUAUUUUUGAAUUACUCUUCCUUUUUUUAAGGCCCUUUAGAGCAGAAGGUAAUACUCGGCAGAACUGUCUGAAAUAUUUCACAUCGUGUAUGAUUCCACCCAUAAUGUGGGUCAUCAUCUUGUUUCUCGAUGGAGAUUACUUUGCUUGUGCCAUGACAUACUGGAAGGGAAUUUUUGAGUUUGACAAUCAGCUCAACAGGUCGUGGUGUAAACCUGUGGAAAAGUUCAGAAAUGUGACAGCACUACGAAAUUUGACUCAAACAUUUAUCCAUCAAUCUCAGGUAUAUGGUUAUGGUGUGAGCUCUAUUUUUAUCGUCUUACCAAUUAUCUAUGUGGGAAUUUGUGACUGCUGUGGUAAAUCUGCUUGCUGAUCGAAAGCUGGAGAUGACUGAAUACAAAUUGAUAUGAACAUGCUUUCCAUAAUACUUAAAUAAGGAACACAGAUUUACCCUUAUUACUUUUGUACUAUGAGACUGAGAGAGAGACAGAGAGAGAGAGAGAGAGAGAGAGAGAGAGAGAGAACAACAUUUGUAUAGAUUCAUGUUUAUCUGUUUUUAUUAUUACUAAUAUUAAUCUGUUUGUUGUUCUCCAGCAUCACACACAGACCAAGAAUUAACAAGUUGUGUACAUUAUGUCUUGUCUCAUAUAGUUGUCUCAUAAUACUUUAUAUGCAUUAAUAAAAUAAAAAGGUCAUUUUUAUUGUGUA